AUGGAGGAAGCCGAAAAUCCUUUGAAGAGUAGGCG
rnacentral:ncRNA from 1 species